GUGGGGAAUCUUGCACAAUGGGGGAAACCCUGAUGCAGCGACGCCGCGUGAAUGACGAAGCCCUUCGGGGUGUAAAGUUCUUUCGGCAGGAACGAUAAUGACGGUACCUGAAGAAGAAGCUGCGGCUAACUACGUGCCAGCAGCCGCGGUAAUACGUAGGCAGCAAACGUUGUUCGGAGUUACUGGGCGUAAAGAGUACGUAGGCGGUUUGCCAAGUCUGGUGUGAAAUCUCUCGGCUUAACCGGGAGGGUGCGCCGGAUACUGGCAGGCUAGAGUGUGGGAGAGGAAAGCGGAAUUCCUGGUGUAGCGGUGAAAUGCGUAGAUAUCAGGAGGAACACCGGUGGUGUAGACGGCUUUCUGGACCAUGACUGACGCUGAGGUACGAAAGCGUGGGUAGCAAACAGGAUUAGAAACCCUAGUAGUCC
rnacentral:rRNA from 1 species